CUAAAUAAAAAUAAAAUAACAUGUAAAAAAAAACUACCACAGUAUCUGGUUUUCUAUGUACAAGUAAUGUGAGUGUGUAUGUCAGGUGGAUCACACUCCUCAGCCUCCCUGG